AUUGUAAAAUUAUUUCGGGAGAGAGUUUAACAAUACAACAUAGGAUGCUCGUCAUGGAUUUUUGCAUUGAGCAAAAGUUGAGGAAAAGACAUCAUACGAAGAAUCAACAGACGAGGUGGUGGCGGAUGAAAGGUGAGAAACAAAGAAUCUUCCUAAGACGGGCAGGAGAAGAGACAAAGUGGAAUGGAGAUGGAAGCGCAGAGGAGAUGUGGAGGGAGAUGGCAUAAGUUAUUAGAAGAAUAGCAAAAGAAAGUUUUGGUAAAUCUAGCAGGAUAGGACCAAGAGAUAAGGAGUCCUGGUGGUAGAAUGUGAGUAUACAAGAAAAGAUAAAAAUAAAAAAAAGUGUUUUAAGGAGUGGUCUUUGUGCCACAAUGCAGAUAAUUGAAAAAAAUAUAAGGCGGCUAAGAAAGAGACAAAAGUGGCUGUAAGUGAAGUAAGAACAAGAGCAUAUGAGGGUCUCUACCAGUCUUUAGGCACAAAAAAGGAGGAAAAUGUAUAUAUAGAAUCGCAAAGAGCCGUGAAAGAAGAACGAAAGACUUGGAUCAUGUUAAGUGCAUAAAGAAUAAAGACGGAGAGGUUUUGGCUCAAGAGGAGAAGAUCAGUGAAAGGUGAAAGAGUUACUUCUACGAGUUAUUUAUUAAAGGAUAGAAGACUCUUCUGAGUCUUGGUCAGUUAUGCACGAGAGAAGAUCAAAACUUCGACUACUAUCGAAAGACUUCGAGAUAAAAGAGGCUCUAAAGCAGAUGAAAAAUAGUAAGACAGUAGGACUCAAUAUUCUGAUUGAAGUUUGGAAUGGCCUUGGAGAGAAAUGCAUCAAUUGGUUAACCAAGCUUUUUAAUGAGAUUUUAAGUUCAAAGAAGAUGCCAGAUGAGUGGAGAAAGAACAUCUUGAUACCUAUCUACAAGAAUAAGGGGGAUAUACAAAGUUGCGAAAACUAUAGAGGGAUCAAGCUCAUGAGCCAUACCAUGAUGUUAUGGAAAAGAGUGAUAGAAUGGAGGAUGAGACAAGAGACACAAGUAACAUAGAACUAAUUUGGUUUUAUGUCAGGCAGAUCCAUUACUGAAGUGAUAUACCUAUUAAGAAGGAUGAUAGAGAUGUAUUGUAGUAAUAAAAUGGAUCUACAUAUGGUGUUUAUUGAUUUGGAAAAAGCGUACGAUAGGAUGCCAAGGGAGGUCUUAUGGAAGGUUUUAGAAAGGAAGAGAGUAAGGAUCACAUAUAUUCGGUUAUUUAAAGACAUGUAUGAUGGGGCUACCACUAGUGUGAAAACUCAAGGUAGUGUGACAGAGAAAUUUCCUAUUGGUAUAGAAUUACACUAGGGAUUAUCCUCAAGUCCAUACCUUUUCACAUUAGUUUUGGAAGUACUCACAGAGCAUAUCCAAAAGCCUAUGCCAUGGUGCAUGCUUUUUGCCGAUGAUAUCGUCCUUAUGGGAGAGUCAAGGGAAGACCUAAAUAAGAAGUUGGAUUUAUGGAGAGAAGCUCUAGAAGUGUAUGGUCUGCACAUAACCCGUAGCAAGAUAGAAUAUAUUGAAUGUAAGUUCGGCCGUCAAAGGAAAAACCCUAAUACAGAGGUGAAGAUUGGAAAAAACAUCUUAC